rnacentral:rRNA from 1 species
UACGGAGGGUGCAAGCGUUAUCCGGAUUCACUGGGUUUAAAGGGUGCGUAGGUGGGUUGAUAAGUCAGUGGUGAAAUCCCCGAGCUUAACUUGGGAACUGCCAUUGAUACUGUAGGGCUUGAGUACAGUUGCUGUGGGCGGAAUAUGACAUGUAGUGGUGAAAUACGUAGAGAUGUCAUAGAACACCGAUUGCGAAGGCAGCUCACAAAACUGUAACUGACACUGAGGCUCGAAAGUGCGGGGAUCAAACAGG